rnacentral:tRNA from 1 species
GCCAAGGUGGCUCAGUGGCUGAGCGUCGAUCUAUGAACCAGGAGGUCAGGGUUCAAUUCCCGGUCAGGGCA